rnacentral:rRNA from 1 species
GGCCGGGCUGGAUGGUCUCGCCGCAAGGUGUGCACUGUUCGGUCUGGCCUUUCCUUCUGGGGAACUGUGGUCCUCUUUAUUGGGUGCCGCAGGGAUCCAGGACUUUUACUUUGAAAAAAUUAGAGUGUUGAAAGCGGGCAUUUGCUUGAAUACAUUAGCAUGGAAUAAUAGAAUAGGACUUUGGUUCUAUUUUGUUGGUUUCUAGGACCAAAGUA